CCUUUUGAUAAUUCUUCUGUUUCUACCACGUUGGUAUUUCUCGUUGACUUCUAUCUUUCUCUUCUUCCUUUCUCUUUCUUCUCGUUCUAAAAAAUUCUUUCUCCGAGUCGAAUCUCAAGCAAUUCUCCACCAUGUCCACUCUUUUCAGACUUCCAUAUCCCUAAACCGGUUUCAAAUGUCCAGCUCCGCCGAAGCCAAUGAAAGGGGACCCUUACUCAGAAAUUGAUCUCAGCACUGGUUUGGGAUAUUUGAUAUGAAAUUAUGAAUUAGGAUUUUUAACCAAAGAAGAAGAAUAGUAACUCAUAUUUUGUUUUUGAUCUAUUUGUGGUUUAUCUAAUAUUUUAAUCUAGGAAUCUGACAUAUAUAAGAGAAUGAAAAAAGGAUCUUGGGAAAUAAGGAUCGUGGGUGGUUGAGUUAUACGGUCA
rnacentral:lncRNA from 1 species